CUGGGAGCCCCGCCAGCAGGCUCUUGCUUCCGGGAUUUUGCAUUCAUCUUAUCUGCGUUGAAAAAACAGCUUCCCCACCUGGCACACUUCCUCCCUUCUAAAGCACCCCCCCCCCAAGAUCUCGCCUCAGGCCGCCCUUACCAAAAACUUUAUACCUCCCCCACCCACCCUUAGUCCUGUCUGAUUUUCCUCUUCAGCCUGCUGACAUCUUUCAUAUCUGUUUCUUUCUCGGACUUGCUGGGCCAGAAUGGGAAUUGCGGGCGAGCAGGGACUUUGUUGUGCUCGAGAUGGAGCCUCCAGCACCGAGGACAGUGGCGGAUGCACAGUCGGGGCAGUAAACCUCUGCGCAGGUUUUCUCUUGGCAUCAGAAAGUCGCUUAUUCCAGGUGAGAAGUACAGUUGCAGUUUUAGCCUUGAAUAUCGGCUUGGCUGAUGCUUGCCGAGGAAAAGACACACUACAGGGGCUCCAUCCUGGAAGCCAUAACUCUUCCCUGUGGAGAUGCAGCAGCCCAGAUCUAAAUCAGGAGAGAGCAUCUAGCCAAAAAGGCUGUGAGCACUAG
ensembl:lncRNA